rnacentral:rRNA from 1 species
UGAUGCGAUCAUACCAGCACUAAAGCACCGGAUCCCAUCAGAACUCUGAAGUUAAGCGUGCUUGGGCGAGAGUAGUACUAGGAUGGGUGACCUCCUGGGAAGUCCUCGUGUUGCAUUCC